ACUGGGCCCCUAAGCUCUUCAGGCGCUAAGAAGCACUCUAGAGAUGCUGGUGUUCCUGGACUGGAUUCUGAAGUUUGAGAGCCACUGGUCAAGUGCAGCGACUCUCUGCCCUGGCAGUUUUGUUCCCUAGUGGACACAGGACUAUAUGUUGGCGGGCACUUUGGAUUGUCAGCCUGGUGGCGUCCAGUAGGUUGAGCAUGGAGUAACCCACCAAUGUCCAUGGCGCUGGUGGUGCUGAUGUUGAGAAGAGUCCCCAGGAACUCUCUCAUAGAGCCACACUGCCUAACAAGAGCUUAAAUAACGAGCAAGACAGGGCUACUCAUUCAGGAGGCAGUUUUCCACUAAAGUAGGAUGAUGUCACAGACAUUAAGUUAAUUGGGUGGUGUCUCCAGGAGAUAUCUGCUGUCAUCUUUCUCCGUGUCUCUGUCUCUCCCACACUCACAUGUCCAUUAAGCUUAUAAAACACCACACAGCCCAGACAUGUACUCAUCACAGGUGUAAAUGAGGGCCUGUGUAUAGCAGAGGAGGGAUAUGGGGCCAACUGAGAUGGGAACACCUUUAUUCAUCCCCCCAGGGGCUGGCAUCAUAAGGUCCAAAGAGGAGAAUGUUCUGGAGACCAAUGCCACAGAGUGGUAGAGUUGUUGAGACACUGCUUGUACGCUUGAUAUUUCUCUUUGACAUCACCGUUUAAUGGCAGAAGAUCCUGCUUGGCAUUUCUGCAAGCGCUGGAGCAAGACUAGGGUUGGACAUCUCUCUCCCGAAAAGAUUCACAGUGAGCCCGAGUGGCUGGCCCUUAGGAAUCACGGUGAGGAGAGGUGCAAGGUUGGGCUACCUCAAGCAGGGACCAAUGAGUAUGGACAGAGACAAAGACUUUGUUGUUAGCCCAGUGGAAAACCUUUAAAGGUUUAAACUGAGGUGGUGAUGUCAUUGUUCUGGCUACUUUGUGGAAAAUGGAUGGGAAGCUGGGCCAACAGUGAGAAGAGAGAAACCGGUUCAUAAACCACUGGAAUAUCUGAGUGGGAGGAGAGCGGUGUGUACCCACAGCCGUGAGCAGACAGAAGAUGUGUUUUGGUAGCAGCGUAUGCAUUUGCUGUGAGUUUGGAUUUGGGCAGGCUAAGGAAAGAGGAAGAAGAAAGUAUGAUGUCCAGGAUUAGGGAUGACAAUACUUCUUUCUGUCCACUGAGAUGGGAAAACAAGUCCUAUUCAUGUUCUGGGCUUAGCUAGGUCUCACCCCUGUCAUGAAGGAUACCAUGAAGCACACACAGCCUCUAAGCUUUUCCUCUAAGAGAUUUGAGAAAUCCUUGCCUAUUUCUCCCCCCCCCCAUUUUUAUUAAAUUGGGUAUUUCUUAUUUACAUUUCAAACCUUAUUCCCUUUCCCGGUUUCCUGUCCAUAAGCCUCCUAAUCCUUCCCCCUCCCCUUCUAUAUGGCUGUUCCCCUCCCCAUCCACCCCCCUUUACAACCUCCCAACGAUCCCCUACACUGUGGGUCCAACCUUGGCAGGACCAAGGGUUUCCCCUUCCACUGGUGCCCCAACAAGGCUAUUCACUGCUACAUAUGCAGUUGGAGCCCAGGGUCAAGGUGAGAAGCCCCCUUCUCAUGCAAAAGGACCCAGGAAAGGAUCUUGGGUAGAGCGGAAGGAUGCAUACCUGUGGUUUGGAGGGAGAAUUAGUUGCUGUUUCGGUGCAGGUCAUACCUAAGAAUACCUUGCUGCCCACUAAACGCUCUGCUCUCCAGAUUUUCUCUCACUUGGACCUCCUAAGAGUCCUUACCAAAGCCUUUGGAAGCCACGUUUGUCUCCAACAUUUUAGAGAGGGUGUUUAGCUUCUAGCGAAUACUCUGGUACUACUGAGCAGUAUGCCUUUCACUUGACACACAGUUACUUUUUUGACCCAUUACCAAGAACUGUCUGGAAAUUCAAGUACAUUUCCUCUUCUGUUCAGAAGGAACUGAGGGUGGAUUUUUUUUUUUCUUACCGGAAACACUGAAUUAUUUUAAGUACACUUUAUUUUCUACAGCGUCACUCAUGCCCUGGUGAGAACAACUUUUCUUUAUUUUAAAGCCUUUAAGAUACCAUAAUAUCACCUUUCCGUUCGCUCUAAGCGCCAAUCUUGUGGGUAUUGAGGGCUAAAUGUGUGUUGUGAGUGCCCACACAAAGCCAGAACUCUGUCCACAGUGCUCUUACCAGAGAAAGGGACCAGGAUCGUGAAGAACAUAUGUUGGAGCAAAAUGCAGGCCUUUUCUUGUUCUUUUCUUUCUUUCAGCUUUAAAAAUUACCCAGACACAUUGCUGCUCUAGCUCUGAGCUGAGCAUUAUGGCCCUUUGACACUAAUUCUCCCAAAGGUAGACAGAUCCCUCUUCCCUCCUUGUCAGUGAAUGGCUGAGGAGAGGGAGGUUUAGCAAGAUGUAAGGCUGUGUACCAGAACCCUAAAGACAGCCCCAGUGCAAUCCAACGCAGGCUUUAGUGACAGUGAAGCUCUAGGAAUGUCCUUUACACAGUAGUUCAAUGUACGAUGGUCAAGAGGACCAUGCUGGGAAAAACCCAGUUCCACCGAAACUCCGGGCAAACUCCUGGAGAAUUCUGCCAAGCCUCUGAUGUUCCCACCACACCUGUUCCCAGCAUGGACUCCACAGGGUGCAUAAAAUCCCUGUUUCCGCAGGCCAAGUUUGCAUCUGUGGGAAAUGCAUUUUCCGGAAAGUAGGUUUUCAUUUCUAAACCUGAAGGGUCUGAUCUCCUAUAUCUUCUCCAAAGAAGAGCAAACCUUUUACCUUGGGAAUUCAGGUGUGGCCCACACCUGAAAAACAGGCGCACUCGCUCCCCAAGCCUCUCUGGCUCAGGUGAAACUCCUUCACUCCAGCAACCUUUCACUAUCACCCGAACUCCAGCCUCUAGGGAAUAUUCCAGUCUUUGCCGUAGAUCUGGCAACCACUGAAAAUACACUACCAAGAACCAUCACAGUUUUCUAUCCUUAACCCAAUUCAGCAUCUUACUUCAGAGUAGGAACAUACUUUAUUUUCCUUUUAUGCUUCUCCAAAAACUUUUUGAAGUUUAGAGAACACAUCAUUAUACACUAUAUCAAUUUACCACCACUGACUCUUUUAACCUGUCAAUAGAAAGGUUUGAAGUCUGAUAUAUAUGUAUAUACAUAUGUGUGUACAUACAUACAUACAUACAUACAUACAUACAUACAUACAUACAUGUAUAUUGUCUUUUUAACUUCAAGAUGCAGAGGGAUAAUUGACAGUACAUUUGGGGACCCAUACCCUCAUCAAGGAGGGCACGCCAGAAAGUCGAGAGGCUAGCUACUCAUGUCCAUGCCCCUUCAUGUGAGCACAUAAUACUUGACCUACUCGUUAACUGUAAGAGCACCAAGAGCAUUACAGGGCCAGGUUGACGCUUACCUUGCUGUUCUCUGGGCUCAGACGACUUCCAGACAUCUCCACACCCAGUCCAGCCUCCAGCUUAGACAGGAUAGAGGCUUUCCAGGCCAGUGAGCUGCUGGGAGGCCAGUCACGUCCUGUAUUUGUGUGGCCGAGCCUUCCCAGUUAAACCUUCUUGCAGGGCAUUUCAGUUACCCUGGCUUGUCAACACUGGACUGCUGUCAUGACCGGUAGGACUGUCCACAAGAUGCUCCUCCCAGACAGCUAGCUCACAACCCCAUGCUCCUCUCCAGGAGGGCCAGGGGCUCCCUCUCAGCCUUCUGGCCUGCUGCCGGAGGCCAGUAUUGCAGUAAGCAGCCAGCAAAGCGUGUUGUAACCCAACCCCUUGUUGAAAUGAGACUCCCAGCAUCGGGAGGCUCCUGGGCAGCGAACACCUGACGCGCUACCUUAUCCACAGCCACGGCACCAUUAGAACGCUCACUGUCCUCCUGGCCCAGCAUGGUUAUAAUCAUAAUUGCUGAGUGAAAUGGUUCUCUCCGCUAAUUAUGCUGCUUUUAGCCAGCCACGAGGGAAAUAAUAAUUUGGCUUGAAACGAGUCUUCAGGUUCCUCAUGUCUGGGAAAGUCCUUGGGUUAAAGGUCAUCAAGAUACAGGCUUGAUAACUGUCGAUGUAAAUGUCAGGUGUUUGACUUUUUAAUUAUUAUUUUAUUCUGGGAAAAAGCAGUGCUUUGGAAGUGGCCCUGUUCCUUGCAGCGAGCCUGGCCGUGGCUUUAAUUUGCUUUACUUCUGUCUUGAGCUAAUAAGUUUCUGCUGUUGUGGCAGAUCUGGGAGCUGCCUGCAGGCCAAGGCAGUGCCCAGCAAGGACGUCUCCCAUCAUCCUGAUCCGUUGUCUCUGGUGGAGAUCUCCCCAGCUGUAGCAGAGCCAUGACCAUGGCUGCUGGCGAGUGACCCAAACUGGAGCUGACUGAGACAGGCUGAGCAGAGGGUGCACGGAGCCAGGAUGACAAAGGCAUCGUCCCUAUGACACAAUGCCCUUGGAUCCUCCAAAGGCUAAAGCUCCUGGGGCAGAGGUGUUGAUGAUUCAUGCGCCCAGCAGUUGCACAACAAGAAGGCGCUGGGUGAACUUUGCUUCUUUGAGUUUUACAAGUUGAGCCGGCGUGGACAGAACCGUGCAAGAAGCGUGAGUGCAUGGAGUCAAACCUGUGGCUUGAGCAGUUGCUUAAUCUCCUCGUCUCGGUUUCCCUACCCAUACAUAGAGCAGGAAUAUACUGCCCACUUCUAGGAGCAUCAUGGGAACUUAAUGAGUUGCCUUGUGACAGUGCCACACACAGCAACGCCACAGCUGCAAAUAGAGACUCCUGCCAUGUGAGUGUUGAAUAAAAUGGGAGUCUGCUAUCCCAUGGCUGUGCUUGAGAGGAAAGGUUGCAGACACUAGUUGGCCUGGCUUGAUUUAAAUGAGUAUAUUCUUUAUUAGAAUGUAUGUAGCUUAGACCUCCAGUUAGAAAGAUGCUAAUGCCAUGCGUGAAACUGAAUUCCAUAGGAGGGCUGUGCAUGGGCAGCCCUGCUCAGGGCUGUUUGCACAGACUGGGUUGGUAGGUCUGGAAAGCCUAUGGUUUAAAAGAUAACCUGGCUAAGAAAUUGUGAUUCUUACAUUACCAAAGACAGGACAGCACACACUGGUUACUGUUUAAUAGAAAGUGUGCUCAACUUCCAGAAAAGAUGUUUGGAAGAAACUGUACAUCGUGCAAGUUAACCUCAAAGAAGUUAAAAUUAUGUGGUUAACAGCAGUUAGGAGCAUUCUAGAUCCUUCUGCCUGUAGAUAAACACUACACAGGGAUUCUCUGGGUUGAGCAGCCCCACCCGCAUGACCAGUCCUGCACAUGUGAACAUCUCUGUAUCAUUUGCCUGUGCUCUCCACAGGACUCCAGGCUCUAGCUGCCCUAGUCUACCUGGAAAAGCCCUGUGGAGACUCGGUUGGGAAGACUCCUCUGAUAGCCUUCCCCUUCCACUUGUAAAACUAGAUCUAGAAAGAUCUCCUUGCUGGAUCAUACAGUAGAUCUAUUUCUAGCAAGGAACCUGCAUCCAGAUUUUCCCAAUAGCUGUAUCAGUUUAUAACUCUCAUCUAUAGCACUAUAGCGCAUCAGUGUGGUCCCCUUCCCUACGUGCACAGCAGUGGCUUUUUGUUUUGUUUUGUUUGUUUGUUUUGUCAUUUGAUUCCUUGCUUUUAUCUAUUCUAACUGGUGUAAAAUAAAAUUUCAAAUUAAAGUUUCAACUUGCAUUUCAUUGACAGCUAAGCGUUUAAAAAAUGGUUCUUGGCCAUUUGUAUCUCUUCUACCAAGAACUCUCUGGUUAGCUGCAUACUCUAUUCUUAAAUUGGUUUGUUUUUCUUGGUGUUUAGGUUUUUGAGUUCUUUGUAUAGUCUAGACAUUAACCCUCUGACAGAUGUAUAACUGGUACAGGGUCUCCCCACAACCCCUAUUCUGUAGGCUGCCUCUUCACCUGAAUGGUGGUAUCAUUCGCUCUUUUUUUUUAAUUUCAUGAAGUCGUUUUAAUCAGUUGUUGAUCUUAGGAAAGUGGUUGACAUUCUUAGCCAGCUGUGGACUCAGGCAGGCUGCAGCGAUGGCCAACCUGGAGAGAUAUGCCACUAGUGCGAUAACGGCACACACGUUAUUAGAAGAACCAACUGUGCGUUUCUGACUAUAUGUAAAAUGUGAUCUACAAGGCAGAACUCUUGCAUGCCUGGCACCAUUAACUGGGCCAGCCCACCAUGCCUGUCUGGAAAGGGAAACCUGAUACUAUUAUUCUGGUGAAAGAGGAGAAACCUAAUACUAUUAUUCUGGUAAACCGGCAUACUAAUGCACUGCAUCUUCAUAUGCAUAGAUCAGUGUAUCUCUUAGCCCUCAUCAGAAAAGCUUCAUUUUGCAAUUAGUACAUGGACCCAUAACUGGUUAACAUGCAGUUAGCACAUAGAUCCAUAACUGGUUAACGUGCAAAGAAUAAGAGGCUGUGGAGAGCUCAGCUCUUAGUAGGACAUUUAUUUUCCUUUCUAUCUCUAAGACUCGGAGAUCACUGCAGAAGAUGGUGCAGAAAGACUGUGAUCCAGAGCUGGUGGAUAUCUACAGAAAAACAGGAUAUGUCAGAAAUUCCAGUGCUGCUUUGUGCACACGAACAGAUAUGGCUGCAGCUGUGCGCAGAUCAAGUCAGACAAAAAUAUCAGCGAGAACAGAGAAGGUUCAUGAAGCUCUUCCCCCGUGUGACAGAGAAGCUGGUGACAAUUGAAGGCUUCAGAGUGAUGAUAGAGAAUCAGAUAUCUUCACGGUUGGGGCCCCAGAGAGAACCCAUGUUCUACUAGACUGUCUUCCACCCAUGCAAAUGGAUACACUGGAAUGGUCUUAGUGGGUUAGCAAACGACGGAAGACACUGGGAGGGAAAUGUGGUGGGAUACAGGAGGAAUCGAAGGGAAGGGAAUGGAGAGUAGAUUUGAUCAGACACAUUAUAGCCAGUUAUAACAUUAUAAAAUAAUAAAUAAAAAACAACUAAAAAUGGCAAAGACCUCCUCGCCCACUCCAGGAGCUUCUGCAAUUAGCUUCAAAGGCUUCCAACAUAUGCAUUUCUCUAAGCACUUGCUAUCCUGGUGAUCCUGCUGUGGCGGCUCCCUGCCUUUCUCAGAGCUAUAAGCUGAGUUCUGUCUCAGUGCACUGCACACUCUACUCUCUGGGACUCAGAAGGUGCUCAGCCAGGGUUCAGGGGACAGUGCUGCAGGCAUAGAUUCGUGUGUCUGUACAUACCAUGGCUGUGGACUCCUGUGGGAGAAAUGGGAGCUCUUCCCCGCACGUGUUAUCAGGACCAUAAUCUGAGAUGACGAACCCCUAGGCUGACGGGUUCACAUUUGGUAAAGCUAAAAUGAUUGGCACUAGACACCUCUGUUACACAGAGACGAUGUCUCGAAAGGCUAAGAAACCACUGCGUAUGUGGCAGUAGCACGAGCCAACCAUUUAAAAGGUGCUUUGUGAACUGUAGGUGUGACUCACUUGUUUUAGGUGAAAAUGUGCUUUAGAGUCACAAUGGGCUACCACUAUCCACCCACUGCAAAGGUGAGUUAUGGAGACUGGUAAUACCUCAUGGUGUAGAGGAGCGGGAAAGACACAGAACCCCCACACCUUACUGGUGGAAGUGGAGCUCGGCAAAACUACUUCGUUUAGAAAGGAAACUAUCAACUAGGUGAAGAGGCAGCCCACAGAAUUCAUCAGGAUUGAUCAGUUAUACAUCGGACAGAUUAAUAUCUAGAAUACACAAAGAACCAAAAAACAAAAUAAAAAACAACCCAAAACAUCAAGAAUAUCUACAACUCAAAAAAAAGAAAAAAAGGUGUUGGAACUGAGUAGAGUUCUCAAAGUAAGAACUAUGAAUGGCUAAUGAACACUUUGAAAAGCAUUUAACAUCAUUAAUAGAAAUGCAAAUUAAAACUAUUUUGAGAUACCGUCUCACCCCAGUUAGAAUGGCUAUUAUUAAAAAAAAAAAAAUCAAAUGGCAGCCAAUCCAGGUGAGGUUGUGAGGAGGGAGGAGCUUUAUUCAUUGUUGGUGGGGUUUCUCAAGAUGGUAGAAAACAGAUACAGCAUAAGACCCGUUCAUGUAUCCCACCCUUAAACACAUACCCAAAGGACGAUGUACCCUACUACUGACAUACUCUCUCAUCCACGAUUAUUGCUGCUUGAUUCACACCAGCUAGGAAAAGGAUUCAGCCCCUAUGUCUAUCAAAUACAUGGACAGAUAAUAAAAAUGUGGUAUAUCUUCAAAUUUUGCUAGAAGUGAAAUUUCAGAUCUAUGAAAAGAAAGAAAGAAACAAGGAAGGAAGGAAACUUUCAGGCCAAUGGCGAGAGCUGGAAAGAAUUAUUACUGAGUGAGGUGACAGGGAUCUAGAAAGGCAAAUGCCAAAUGUUCUUUCUCAUGCGCGAAUCCUGGCAUUGAAACGUUAGAACGGCGUGUUUAACUUGGGAGUGCUUAUGGAGGACAAGAAGCUAGAAAUGGGUCACUGGUGGGAGGGUGCGCUGUAACAGAGGGGAGAUAGUGGCACAUGGCUACAGUUUCUUGCCAUUCUUCUCAGUUGCCCUCAAGAACCAGAUGGUAAGACUCUGUUACUGAAGAUACCCAUACCUUGGUUGCAAGAUAUAAAGAAAUCAGUCUGGAACUGAGCCAAAGAUUUUUCCCUGCUGGCUACCGUUCAUAGUGCUGGAAGGUGCUAUACAGGCUGCUGGGGGAAAAACGGCAUCAAUGAGCCAGCUGUAAACUAAGACCUGCAAUGCCAACUUGCCAGAUAAGGUGUGCACAUAGGUUCAAUGGGAGCAUGGGAGAUAUGGGGUAACCAACUAUUGUUGGACUGGAGCUAAGGUCUACUCUAUAGGAGAGAAUACAUUUCUGGUACUGUAAGCAUUAUCAAAGAACCAUUGCUGGGGAAAUCAUGGAGCCUAGGAGGGAAAGAACCUAUUACCAUCGGUUGCCUAAUGGACAUAGCAUCAUAUUGCCUUGCAAAUACUCCUAUAUGUGCCCAGAGACAAAUGCUACAUUCAGCCUCAGAGAUGAACAGCAGCAAACGCAGACUCAAGGCUGAAAAUUAGUGACACUUAAAUACUUUGCCCUAAGUAGAACACUUGUACCACCCCUUUUACGGCCCACAGAAUAUCGCAGAAGUAGAAAGAAAGGGAAGGGGAUGCAAAAAUGUUGUCUCCAGGGCAUAAUACAGUCAUUGAAAAUGUGGUCUCCCUGAAGCUCAGGUUGACUGAACUGAGGCUGCAAAGGGCCGAAUUAUAGACUCAUGGGGUCGUAGCCUUCCCUGAGGAAGGGUUGGUUACUGGUGGAUUCUAGGAGAGGGGUUCCUUAGAUAUGGACAAUGGUGAGCCCACAGCCUCCAGUGGAUGUUUCCAAACCUGUGGCCACAGAAAGCCUUGAUUGAAAACCAGCAGGUCACCAAAGAAACAAAAAGCAGAAAAGAGAAGAAGAAGGCUGACCAGGAUGGGUGGCAGGUAACAGAUGGUGGUGAGGGUAAUCAGAAGGGACAAUGUACAUGCAUGACAUUACCCAAGGACAGCCUUAUCAAUACAAAUAUUUUAGUGUAGUUAAGCAUGUACCUACUUGUGACACGGCAAGCCUACUUGCAGGUACAUAGUCAAGUGACACACAGGAGCCUUCACAGCUCCAACUAUGAGCAGCACAAUUUUCUAUUGUUCAGCAAGGCCAUGAGUAAACAAGACUGUGGUAUAUCCACGUAAGAAGUACUACUCAGCCAUGAAAAAGGAUGGGAUCUUACAUUCCAACAAUGUUCCACUGAGCAACGAACAUCAAGUGUGAAAGAGAAUGUUUUAUCCAAUACCAAACAAGGAAAGGUCAAGGCCAGCCUAAUGUUGAUAGAAAUUAAUUCAGUGCCAAACCAAACAAAAGUGCAGAUUACCCAGGAUCUGGGUGAGCAGAAAGCAGAACCCCCUUUAGUCAGGUAACACUGAGAUAACAGAUUAUAUACACUCACUCAGUCUGACGUAAGAAAAUUGGUCAUUGCUGAUCGUCACAAACACCCUGGCAUGGUUGUUGGAAAGAGUGUUAUAUAUACUAAACUGUUGUGUGUUCAAACAGCUAAGAGCAGGGUGCCUCCAUGCACUCAGUCAUUGUCCGUACCCUAACUCCCUUUCUGGUGUGAAUGAAGGUUUCUGCUCAGGUCUCUGUUGUGAGACCCUUCCUCAGGCACAUGACUUGAAGCAAGUCAUGGACUUAGGUGACAGUCUCCUUGAAGACAAGCCCACCAGAAGAGGGAUGGUACAAGAAGAGGGACAGUGGGGGAUGGAGAGUUGGCUCAGCGGUUGGGAGCACUGACUGCUCUUCCAGAGGUCCUGAGUUCAAUUCCCAGCAACCACAUGGUGGCUCACAACCAUCUAUAAUGAGAUCUGGGGUCAUCUUCUGGCCUGCAGGCACACAUGCAGACAGAAAGCUGUAUGAUGUAUACAUAGUAAAUAAAUAAAUAUUUAAAAAAAAAAGA